CAGUCGCCACGGGAACACGUAGGGUGCAAGCGUUAAUCGGAAUUACUGGGCGUAAAGCGUGCGCAGGCGGUUUGUUAAGACAGAUGUGAAAUCCCCGGGCUCAACCUGGGAACUGCAUUUGUGACUGGCAAGCUAGAGUAUGGCAGAGGGGGGUGGAAUUCCGCGUGUAGCAGUGAAAUGCGUAGAUAUGCGGAGGAACACCGAUGGCGAAGGCAGCCCCCUGGGCCAAUACUGACGCUCAUGCACGAAAGCGUGGGGAGUAAACAGGAUUAGAUACCCCUGUAGUCCCUGUCUCUUAUAC
rnacentral:rRNA from 1 species